AAAUAUGCUGCAAAUCAUAAUUUUAAAUACCAUUUAAGUAUUUAGUUUAAAGAUUUAACUACAGAUUAUAAUUUGUGAAGACUAACAUUAAUUGUAAAUCAUCAAAUAUUCAAUACAUUUUUCAUGAAUGGACGGACUACGGAUGACUCAAUGUUUAUUUUUGCGUUUUUGAAUAGAUAGUUCAUUCUACAAUGUGGAUCCAGAUGUUAUCCAAGGAAUGGGGUUGACGGAAUUUAAAAAAAUAUAAAACGUAACAAUAAUGUUUUUCAUGAAAAAUUGUUUAUUAAUCUUGGUGGCAUUUUUUCUAUCCAAUCAACAUUUGAUUUCCAUUGCAGAAAAAUGGUCGAAUGAAUACAUGAAAAUCGAAGCUGUUUAAAUGUCUAAAAAUGUGUGAUUGAAUAAACCUCGAUAUAAACACAUAAUUAUUAUGUGACUUAUGUGCCUUUUAUUAAUUUAAAACCAAUACAAGUAAUAAAUAUUACGAUAGAACUAUAUGUCAGAAAUUAAAAAACAAUAAUAUAAGUCUAUUAUUAU